rnacentral:rRNA from 1 species
ACGGAAGGCAGCAGUGGGGAAUAUUGCACAAUGGGGGAAACCCUGAUGCAGCGACGCCGCGUGAAGGAAGAAGUAUCUCGGUAUGUAAACUUCUAUCAGCAGGGAAGAAAGUGACGGUACCUGACUAAGAAGCCCCGGCUAACUACGUGCCAGCAGCCGCGGUAAUACGUAGGGGGCAAGCGUUAUCCGGAUUUACUGGGUGUAAGGGGAGCGUAGACGGCAAGACAAGUCUGAAGUGAAAGGCAUGGGCUCAACCUGUGGACUGCUUUGGAAACUGCCUUGCUUGAGUGCCGGAGGGGUAAGCGGAAUUCCUAGUGUAGCGGUGAAAUGCGUAGAUAUUAGGAGGAACACCAGUGGCGAAGGCGGCUUACUGGACGGUAACUGACGUUGAGGCUCGAAAGCGUGGGGAGCAAACAGGAUUAGAUACCCUGGUA